UUCAAAGGCUGGCCCUCUGCCUAGGGUGCAGGCGCCUGGACUCUUGGAGCAUUCCCAUUGGGCAGUUUGCUGUGUCUGAGCUGCUUGCGUCAACAGUGUGGCUAUGGCUAGACCCUGCUUUCCUUCCGGGACGUCGCUCAGUCCCUCUGUCUUUGUCCUGUGAGCCUUUUCCCUGUGCUGAUCGUUGUUUUCUAUACUGCUGCUGUAAUAAUACGAGCCAUCCUUUUGGACUGUAAUCAUCGAGGAACAGGGCCCCCAGCUCUCUGGGGGGGUAGGAGGCUGAUGUCCGCAGGUGCCUUCCCCAAAGGCAGACACCUCCUGGUGGAAAGCGGUAAAUAUAUUUUGUACCUGAAGGAAUGGAGUCAAAUCUAAAGUGAAGAAUCUGCUCCCCUUCCUCCCGCAAACAUCCCCUCAGCCCUCUUUGGCAUCAAGUUCUGCUAAGGAGGCCGGGCUCACCCACAGCACCCACCGUCGCGAAGGGUACAGAGAAAGCUUGCUGCGGCCCAGGGUGACCAGUGCGGGCAGCUGCCAGUCCCUGGCCGACGUCCUCCUGAGCUCACACAGAGUGAGAAGACUCCCACGGCUUGGAUGGCUUUCCUCCUCCGCUCAGCUGUAAGGCAGGUGUCUACACAGACUUCCAUGGGCCUCGCUGCAUUUGCACUUCAGUGGCAGAUCAAGAAAAUGAGCAAGAUCUAUUAUUGUUUAAUCUGUGAUUUAUAGAUUAGCAAGAUAAAUACUAGAUGCUAACUUUCAGUAACUGGCAACUUACCUAAAUUCAAUCAUUGAAAAAUACUUCGAAUUUAAGUCAUGAAAAGGACAACAGCAACCAAUCCACAGAGGUUGGCUUUUUCCAUUUUGAUGGGAAGACAUUCAUCAUCUACUCACCAUCAG